UUUACAAUAUUUAGCUGCUUUUAAAUCAACUUCAGGCCCGUGAGUCUAAAGUUUUAUUAUAUAUGAACAUCUGGAAUUUGGCUUGCCCAAACUUAACUUUAGGAAAUUUUGAAGCAAGCAAUUUAAGAUAUUUUUAUAUAAAACAAUUAAUAUGAGAUACACGUGCAACACACGUGUCUGAAUACUAGUAUAAUGGAUAAGGAGAUUUAGUUCGUAACCAUCCAGUCGAGGACUUGACAUUCUUCAUUCGUAAUUUAUACAUAAGGGAGGCUCCUCCAUCAAUUAUUAGAUGGUAUGUUUGAUGUUUCAUCUUCUUUUUUUUUUCAAGAAAUUUUGUUGUUUAUGGUUUUUUUUAUCUUUUUUCUGUAGUAUCACAUAAAGGAACAAUUUUUGGCAGGAUUGUAAGUGGUCUGUUUAUCUUUUUUUCUUUUUUCUUUUUUGUGUGUGUGUGUGUGUGUUAAAUAUUUAUGUUGAGUUGAAGGAAACUAAGGGCACUCUUCAACAACUUCACUUACCGACGACGAGUUGCCCAUGAUGCGGAGGAGUGCACAAGAUUAUGGUGAUGCUGCUCACAGUGGGUGCCAUUGAGCUAUAUGUGUCCUGAGCCAUAUCCCAGGAAAAUUCGAAGUUUCUCCUAAUUAACAAUAUCAAGCUUCUCAAAUUUGUGAUAGAUGGCACUGAGGCAGCAUUAGAUGAGCGAAGGGCGAAAGGAAGAGAAAAUUUCUGUUGUGUCGUGGGAAGUAUUGAAAUCAUAGCAGGAGGAGCUAAAGCACAAGCUGUCACGACCCAUUUGGCUUAGGCCGUGCGGGCACUUACCUUCCCCCCUCGGUAAGCGAAUCCUCAUCCCAACAUUGAACCAAUACAUAAACUGAGGAAAGUUAAGUAACGAAAAUCAACAAAUACGUAAG